rnacentral:tRNA from 1 species
GCGAGUGUGUUGGAAUCGGUAGACAAGACGGUCUCAAACACCGUUGCUGAAAGGCGUGUGGGUUCAAGUCCCACCACUCGUACCA